UACGGGGGGAGCAAGCGUUGUUCGGAAUUACUGGGCGUAAAGGGCGCGUAGGCGGCUUGGUCAGUCCCGUGUGAAAUCCCUCGGCUCAACUGAGGAACUGCACGGGAAACUGCCUGGCUUGAGUUCGGGAGAGGGAAGCGGAAUUCCGGGUGUAGCGGUGAAAUGCGUAGAUAUCCGGAGGAACACCGGUGGCGAAGGCGGCUUCCUGGACCGACACUGACGCUGAGGCGCGAAAGCUAGGGGAGCAAACGGG
rnacentral:rRNA from 1 species